UACAGAGGUCCCAAGCGUUGUUCGGAUUCACUGGGCGUAAAGCGCGCGUAGGCGGCUCGGAAAGUCGGGCGUGAAAUGCCGGGGCUCAACCCCGGGACUGCGUCCGAUACUCCCGAGCUGGAGGUAGGUAGGGGAGAUCGGAAUUCCUGGUGUAGCGGUGAAAUGCGCAGAUAUCAGGAGGAACACCGGUGGCGAAGGCGGAUCUCUGGGCCUUACCUGACGCUGAGGCGCGAAAGCUAGGGGAGCGAACAGG
rnacentral:rRNA from 1 species